GACGAACGCUGGCGGCGUGCCUAAUACAUGCAAGUCGAGCGGACUUGAAGGAGUGCUUGCACUCCUGAGAGUUAGCGGCGGACGGGUGAGUAACACGUAGGCAACCUGCCCUCAAGACUGGGAUAACUACCGGAAACGGUAGCUAAUACCGGAUAAUUUAUUACAUAGCAUUAUGUGAUAAUGAAAGACGGAGCAAUCUGUCACUUGGGGAUGGGCCUGCGGUGCAUUAGCUAGUUGGUGGGGUAAAGGCCCACCAAGGCGACGAUGCGUAGGCGACCUGAGAGGGUGAACGGCCACACUGGGACGGAGACACGGCCCAGACUCCUACGGGAGGCAGCAGUAGGGAAUCUUCCGCAAUGGGCGAAAGCCUGACGGAGCAACGCCGCGUGAGUGAUGAAGGUUUUCGGAUCGUAAAGCUCUGUUGCCAAGGAAGAACGUCUCAUAGAGUAACUGCUAUGCGAGUGACGGUACUUGAGAAGAAAGCCCCGGCUAACUACGUG
rnacentral:rRNA from 1 species